UACCACCUGCGCGAUGUCCGCGUACGGCGGCAGAACUUCUAUCUGGAUGCUGUUUAUACCCGCCUCGUCCUGGUAUCAGAUAAUCUCAAGAAUUGAAGCUGGGUCGGUGUUUUGUAGGUGUGUUAUAUGCAUGCAUAUGAAGCUAUUUUCUGCGCUGAUAGUCUUUAGUGACAUAAACAAUUAAAUUCAAGCAUUUCCUUUAGUCUCUUCGACGUCGUUA